GACGAACCGUGCGAACGUUAUUCGGAAUCACUGGGCUUAAAGCGCGUGUAGGCGGGCCGGCACGUCGAUGGUUGAAAUCCCCCAGCUCAACUGGGGAACAGGCCUCGAUACGACCGGCCUCGAGGGGGGUAGGGGGAGCCGGAACUUCCGGUGGAGCGGUGAAAUGCGUUGAGAUCGGAAGGAACGCCCGUGGCGAAAGCGGGCUCCUGGACCCCACCUGACGCUGAGAUGCGAAAGCCAGGGGAGCGAACGGGG
rnacentral:rRNA from 1 species